UGGUCUUGACAUCCCGAGAAUCUUUUAGAAAUAAGAGAGUGCCUUUUUUAGGAAUUUGGAGAC
rnacentral:rRNA from 1 species